ACUGUAUUAUUGUCUCCCAACUGGGAAUCAGAAACUAAUUUUGAUAUGUAAAGAAAUCAAAGCAAAAAAGGAUGAUACAAGUAUUUGUCUGACUUUAAUUUCUUCGCAGCGCUACCCUGCCGGAACUACUUUUCCAGAACCCAGAGAGGCACCAAUAGAGAUGUUUACGGAUGGAUAAGGCAAUAUUUGUCAGAAGCUGCAGAAUGUGAAAAUCACCAUCUAUCUGCUACAUGCAACUUGACUGAAAUGAUUUAGUCAUAAUGUGUGAUGAUGGACGUUGGUUGCUAUUCUUUAGCUCUGCAAAGGGCACUGCCAGAGACCAGUAUUUCAGCUGACUGCUAUUUCUUUCCAAUUCAAAUGAAAAGAGACUUAAGAACAGACAACAACUCAGCAGGAUGCCUAUUAGAAUUCUUUGUAAGGACUUCACUUGCAAGGAGCAACUCUGGACUUGUUCGUAAAAAAGAAAUAAUCGGCCUCUGACCGAAGUGCUCAAAUCAAAAAUCUCACGGGCUACAUGGGAUUGUUUUUUCUUCUAAAAUAGAUCAUGGAUUAAUGGAGAACACUGACCUAAUAGAAGCAUCAACCAUUUUUAGAACAUAGCUUCCCCAAGAAGGCUUGCAAGGAAUUAUUCCAGCUAUAAUGCUGUAGAAUUCGUUACCCACCGAGUUAAAAUCGCCUCAAAUCCAUUUGCUCUUAUGCAGAAUUUCCUGAUUAUAGCCUCCGCUUAUUUUGCCCACAUACCAAAUCUGAAAAUGGUUUUUUAAAUUAGUGACUUUUGAGCUAGCUUCACUGGUGGCUGGGGUACAAAAUUAUUUUCCCCCGAGUUGAAGAGUAUUUUUUAAAAAGAAAAGAAAAGCACUGGGUGAGAAAUGCAUUUUGAAAACGAAGCUUGAGUUGUAGCUUCGCUACAAUGGAGAAGCAGAAAAUGGUCAAACUGCAGCUUUUCUCUUGACAACCCUGAUGGUUCAUCUGGUAACACCUCAGACACUUUAUUCCUAGCUGAGUUGUUUCUAUAUGUCAUUUAUAACUUCACAUUUUUCAGAGAGAGAAAAGUACCUCUUGGAUGUAUCUGUGUAUCCAUGUGUAUGUGAGUGUGUGUGUGCAGGGAUGAUGUUAAGCUGGUAUGUUCCUGCUACAGACAGUGUUGUGCUGGAACAGGCUUACAUAGGCUUUGCAAGAGCUGAUUGUUAAAUUUGCAGAAAAUAUGCAAGCCAACUGAUAUCACAUUGGUGGCUUGAAGCUGGCAGUGGUGGGAGUGUUUCUACCUCAGAAAUCAGCAUGCACUAUGACUCAGGGCUUCAUGAUUUUUGGGAGAGUCAGGUUUUUAGCACAUACUAGCCCACGACUGCUUACUGGGACACCAGCUGUUUGCACAGCCAUCCACAAUGAUUGGCUGCACUCUCCACUUUGGUCAUGCUCAUGUUGUAAGCACUGUACAAUAUUUUGAAUAGCAACUUCAUCACGUGUAGUCAAAUUAUAUCAUUGUAUUAUCUACAUUGUCUUCGGUAUAAUAACGGAAAAGCAGCAUAUACUAUCACAUCAUCCAUCAUCAAAAAACAAUUUUUUUGAGCAUGGGUUUGGACCUCAGGUACUCUGCUGAAUAAAUUCUGGGUGGCUCAACUGCUGGUGGAUCCCAAAUAGAUCAUUUGGGAAGGAAGAAACCAUGCCGGGCCUUAGAGAAAAACAAAAUGAGUCAGUUCUCUCUGCUGCCUUUGGCCAGACCAAACCCUGAAGUCAUACAGCAUGGGGGAGAUUUUCUAGUCAAAAAAGUCAUUUAUCUGUCCAAGCACAUCUGAAGAUAAAUGAUGAGAAGCUUCUGGGAACACUGAAUGUCAGGCCUCUGAGCCCAAGCCAAGCCAUCGCAUCCCCUGUGACUUGCACAUAUACGCCCAGAUGGCCUGAAGUAACUGAAGAAUCACAAAAGAAGUGAAAAGGCCCUGCCCCGCCUUAACUGAUGACAUUCCACCAUUGUGAUUUGUUCCUGCCCCACCUUAACUGAGUGAUUAACCCCAUGAGUUUCCUUCUCCUGGCUCAGAAGCUCCCCCACUGAGCACCUUGUGACCCCUGCCCCUGCCCACCAGAGAACAACCCCCUUUGACUGUAAUUUUCCAUUACCUUCCCAAAUCCUAUAAAAUGGCCCCACCCCUAUCUCCCUUCACUGACUCUCUUUUCGGACUCAGCCCGCCUGCACCCAGGUGAAAUAAACAGCCAUGUUGCUCACACAAA
rnacentral:lncRNA from 1 species